UCAAACUUUAAAUGGGUGAGAACUCCGG
rnacentral:piRNA from 1 species